CAGUAGCCACGGGAAUACGUAGGUGGCAAGCGUUGUCCGGAAUUAUUGGGCGUAAAGGGCUCGCAGGCGGUUUCUUAAGUCUGAUGUGAAAGCCCCCGGCUCAACCGGGGAGGGUCAUUGGAAACUGGGAAACUUGAGUGCAGAAGAGGAGAGUGGAACUCCACGUGUAGCGGUGAAAUGCGUAGAGAUGUGGAGGAACACCAGUGGCGAAGGCGACUCUCUGGUCUGUAACUGACGCUGAGGAGCGAAAGCGUGGGGAGCGAACAGGAUUAGAUACCCCGGUAGUCCCUGUCUCUUAUAC
rnacentral:rRNA from 1 species